AUUGAACGCUGGCGGCAGGCCUAACACAUGCAAGUCGAGCGAGCGGCGGACGGGUGAGUAAUGUCUGGGAAACUGCCUGAUAGAGGGGGAUAACUACUGGAAACGGUAGCUAAUACCGCAUACCAUCAGAUGUGCCCAGAUGGGAUUAGCUAGUAGGUGGGGAAACGGCUCACCUAGGCGACGCUCCCUAGCUGGUCUGAGAGGAUGACCAGCCACACUGGAACUGAGACACGGUCCAUACUCCUACGGGAGGCAGCAGUGGUGAAUAUUGCACAAUGGGCGCAAGCCUGAUGCAGCCAUGCCGCGUGUAUGAAGAAGGCCUUCGGGUUGUAAAGCACUUUCAGCGGGGAGGCGUUACCGGCAGAAGAAGCACCGGCUAACUCCGUGCCAGCAGCCGCGGUAAUAC
rnacentral:rRNA from 1 species